rnacentral:rRNA from 1 species
GUGGGUAGUUUGACUGGGGCGGUCUCCUCCUAAAGAGUAACGGAGGAGCACGAAGGUUGGCUAAUCCUGGUCGGACAUCAGGAGGUUAGUGCAAUGGCAUAAGCCAGCUUGACUGCGAGCGUGACGGCGCGAGCAGGUGCGAAAGCAGGUCAUAGUGAUCCGGUGGUUCUGAAUGGAAGGGCCAUCGCUCAACGGAUAAAAGGUACUCCGGGGAUAACAGGCUGAUACCGCCCAAGAGUUCAUAUCGACGGCGGUGUUUGGCACCUCGAUGUCGGCUCAUCACAUCCUGGGGCUGAAGUAGGUCCCAAGGGUAUGGCUGUUCGCCAUUUAAAGUGGUACGCGAGCUGGGUUUAGAACGUCGUGAGACAGUUCGGUCCCUAUCUGC